rnacentral:rRNA from 1 species
GACGAACGCUGGCGGCGUGCCUAAUACAUGCAAGUAGAACGCACAGUUUAUACCGUAGCUUGCUACACCAUAGACUGUGAGUUGCGAACGGGUGAGUUACGCGUAGGUAACCUGACUGGUAGCGGGGGAUAACUAUUGGAAACGAGAGCUAAUACCGCAUAAUAUUAAUUAUUGCAUGAUAAUUAAUUGAAAGGUGCAAUUGCACCCCUACCAGAUGGACCUGUGUUGUAUUAGCUAGUAGGUGAGGUAACGGCUCACCGAGGCGACGAUGCAUAGCCGACCUGAGAGGGGGAUCAGCCACACUGGGACUGGGACACGGCCAAGCACCCUGCGGCAGAGAGCCGUAGGGGAUCCUCAGGAAUGGACGCAAGGCUGAACGAGAGACGACGCGGGAGUCACUAAGGUUGUCGGGUCGGGAAGGUCUGUUGUACGUGAAGAACGGGAGGGAGAGUGGAAAGUUCACACUGUGACGGUACCUGAAGAAGAAGCGACGGCUAACUACGUG